rnacentral:SRP_RNA from 1 species
GCCGGGCAUGGUGGUGUGUGCCUGUGAUCCCAGCUACUCAGGAGGCUGAGGCAGGAGACUCGCUUGAACCCGGGAGGUGGAGGUUGCAGUGAGCUGAGAUCAUACCACUGCACUCCAGCCUGGGUGACAGAGUGAGACUCCGUCUCAA